GCCAUGCAUGUCUCAGUGCAUGCCGUAUUAAGGUGAAAUCGCGAAUGGCUCAUUAAAUCAGUUAUGGCUCCUUAGAUCGUACCCACAUUUACUUGGAUAACUGUGGUAAUUCUAGAGCUAAUACAUGCAAACCAGAGUUCCGACCAGAGAUGGAAGGAACGCUUUUAUUAGAUCAAAACCAAUCGGUGGCGGGCGUUCGCGCUCGUCCACCGUUUACCUUGGUGACUCUGAAUAGCUUUGUGCUGAUCGCACGGUCUCGUACCGGCGACGCAUCUUUCAAAUGUCUGCCUUAUCAACUGUCGAUGGUAGGUUCUGCGCCUACCAUGGUUGUAACGGGUAACGGGGAAUCAGGGUUCGAUUCCGGAGAGGGAGCCUGAGAAACGGCUACCACAUCCAAGGAAGGCAGCAGGCGCGCAAAUUACCCACUCCCGGCACGGGGAGGUAGUGACGAAAAAUAACGAUACGGGACUCAUCCGAGGCCCCGUAAUCGGAAUGAGUACACUUUAAAUCCUUUACCGAGGAUCCAUUGGAGGGCAAGUCUGGUGCCAGCAGCCGCGGUAAUUCCAGCUCCAAUAGCGUAUAUUAAAGUUGUUGCGGUUAAAAAGCUCGUAGUUGAAUCUGUGUCACACGCUGUCGGUUCAUCGCUCGCGAUGUUUAACUGAUCAGAUUGUGGGACGUCCUACCGGUGGGCUUAGCUCGCAAGGGCGGUCCAGCUUGAAAUCCCAUCGCGGUGCUCUUUACCGAGUGUCGAGGUGGGCCGGUACGUUUACUUUGAACAAAUUAGAGUGCUCAAAGCAGGCUACUUUCGCCUGAAUACUGUGUGCAUGGAAUAAUGGAAUAGGGCCUCGGUUCUAUUUUGUUGGUUUUCGGAACCCCGAGGUAAUGAUUAAUA
rnacentral:rRNA from 1 species